AACGAACGCUGGCGGCAUGCCUAACACAUGCAAGUCGAACGAUGCUUUCGGGCAUAGUGGCGCACGGGUGCGUAACGCGUGGGAAUCUGCCCUUGGGUUCGGAAUAACAGUGAGAAAUUGCUGCUAAUACCGGAUGAUGUCUUCGGACCAAAGAUUUAUCGCCCAGGGAUGAGCCCGCGUAGGAUUAGCUAGUUGGUGGGGUAAUGGCCUACCAAGGCGACGAUCCUUAGCUGGUCUGAGAGGAUGAUCAGCCACACUGGGACUGAGACACGGCCCAGACUCCUACGGGAGGCAGCAGUGGGGAAUAUUGGACAAUGGGCGCAAGCCUGAUCCAGCAAUGCCGCGGGAGUGAUGAAGGCCUUAGGGUUGUAAAGCUCUUUUACCCGGGAUGAUAAUGACAGUACCGGGAGAAUAAGCUCCGGCUAACUCCGG
rnacentral:rRNA from 1 species